ACGCAGCAGCAAUCAGGCUCACUGGACUUACUUUUCAGAUCAGUUUAUGCCUUUGCAUCUUGCUGUUCCAGUUUCAAGAAGUUAAGGAAGAUAACUGGAGAUGUGAUAACGAUACCAGAAGACUGAGAAGAAACUGACCCUCAUUAGAAAGAUGAUGGAGACCACAUUUCC